AUCUCCAAUCGCGUAUCUUAAAGUUGAUGCAGUUAAAAAGCUCGUAGUUGGAUUUCUGGUGGGAGCGAUCGGUCUGGCGCUUAGCGCGAGUACUUGCAUCGUCUCCGGCCAUCCUUGGGGAGAGUCUGUCUGGCAUUAAGUUGUCGGGCAGAGGAUCCUCAUCGUUUACUGUGAAAAAAUUAGAGUGUUCAAAGCAGGCUUAUGCCGUUGAAUAUAUUAGCAUGGAAUAAUAAGAUAGGACUUUGGUACUAUUUUGUUGGUUUGCGCACCAAAGUAAUGAUUAAUAGGGACAGUUGGGGGUAUUCGUAUUCCGUUGUCAGAGGUGAAAUUCUUGGAUUUACGGAAGACGAACUACUGCGAAAGCAUUUACCAAGGAUGUUU
rnacentral:rRNA from 1 species